rnacentral:rRNA from 1 species
AGUGAACGCUGGCGGUAGGCCUAACACAUGCAAGUCGAACGGCAGCACAGUAAGAGCUUGCUCUUACGGGUGGCGAGUGGCGGACGGGUGAGGAAUACAUCGGAAUCUACUUUUUCGUGGGGGAUAACGUAGGGAAACUUACGCUAAUACCGCAUACGACCUACGGGUGAAAGCAGGGGAUCUUCGGACCUUGCGCGAUUGAAUGAGCCGAUGUCGGAUUAGCUAGUUGGCGGGGUAAAGGCCCACCAAGGCGACGAUCCGUAGCUGGUCUGAGAGGAUGAUCAGCCACACUGGAAGUGAGACACGGUCCAGACUCCUACGGGAGGCAGCAGUGGGGAAUAUUGGGCAAUGGGCGCAAGCCUGAUACAGCCAUACCGCGUGGGUGAAGAAGGCCUUCGGGUUGUAAAGCCCUUUUGUUGGGAAAGAAAAGCAGCAGGUUAAUACCCCGCUGUUCUGACGGUACCCAAAGAAUAAGCACCGGCUAACUUCGUG